rnacentral:rRNA from 1 species
UUAAAGGUUAGAGUUAAUUAUUUAUUAUUAGGUUAAUGUUCCUUUUGCAUCAUGAUUAAAUGAAAUUAUAGGUUUAUUACCUUUAACCGAAAACCAAGGAUUUAAAUAUUUGCUGAAUAUUAUUGUUCAAUGAGUGCCCAGGUAGGGCUUAACAGACAAGUAUUAUGAUGUGAUAAGUAAGUCGGCUUGGCUUAUAUCUGUUUAGCAGCUAGUUAAAUAUUAUUACUACAUUGGCGAGGAGGUCAAUGUAGAGUAUACACCCUGUUUUAAUUAAGCUUAAUGUAAGGUUAAAAUUACCUUUUUUUAGAAAGUUUAUUACAAAUUUUUUUAUCUUGUUUUAAUGGGUUAUCUUUAAAGGCUGCUCUUAAAUAGUAACUUUCUGAUUAUAGAAUAUGUUUAAAUAAGUAAUGCUUAAUACUUUAUAUUGUUUCUCAAGGUUUGCCCGUCUGUUUAUUAAAAACAUUUCCAUAUAGUACUAUAUAUGGUAGUACCUGCUCUAUGUUAAUAUAAAUGGCCGCAGUAUCUUGACUGUGCGAAGGUAGCAUAAUUAAUUGCCUUAUAAUUGAGGGCUUGUUUGAAUGGUUUGACGAGGUAAUGUUUAAACAUUAUAUGUAUAGUUGAAAUUACUAUAGAGGGCACAGAAGCCUCUAUGUUUAAUUAGACGGAAAGACCCCGGGAUCUUUAUAUUUUGCUUGGGACAAGUUAAAGUGUUUCACUUUUAUUGAGACCCUUUUUGGUUUAGUGGGCUAAGUUACCCCGGGGAUAACAGUGUAAUAGUUUAUUAGAGACCUUAUCGCUUAAACUGUUUGUUACCUCGAUGUUGACUUAGGUUAUAGCUUGUGCGCAGUAGUUCAAGUUUUAGGUCUGUUCGACCUAGUAACCUCCAUGAGUUGAGUUAAGACCGGCGUGAGCCAGGUCGGUUCUUAUCUAUUGUUGUGAUCUGCUAGUACGAAAGGAUCGCAGAUCGUUUUUUU